rnacentral:rRNA from 1 species
UACGUAGGGGGCGAGCGUUGUCCGGAUUUACUGGGCGUAAAGAGCGCGCAGGCGGUCGUUCAAGUCGAGUGUGAAAGCCCCCGGCUCAACUGGGGAGGGUCACUCGAUACUGAUCGACUUGAAGGCAGGAGAGGGAAGCGGAAUUCCCGGUGUAGUGGUGAAAUGCGUAGAUAUCGGGAGGAACACCAGUGGCGAAGGCGGCUUCCUGGCCUGUUCUUGACGCUGAGGCGCGAAAGCUAGGGGAGCAAACGGG